rnacentral:rRNA from 1 species
AACGUAGGUGGCAAGCGUUAUCCGGAAUUACUGGGCGUAAAGGGUGUGCAGGCGGGGUUGCAAGUGGGGUAUGAAAUUUCCCGGCUUAACCGGGAAGGGUUAUGCCAGACUGUCUUUCUGGAGUGCGAGAGAGGGGCGUGGAAUUCCGGGUGUAGUGGUGAAAUGCGUAUAGAUCCGGAGGAACCCCAGAGGCGAAGGCGGCGCCCUGGCUCGCAACUGACGCUCAGACACGACAGCAUGGGGAGCGAACGGG